rnacentral:rRNA from 1 species
AUUGAACGCUGGCGGCAUGCCUAACACAUGCAAGUCGAGCGGAAGCAGGGCGCUUGCUCCUGGCUUCAGCGGAGGACGGGAGUGUAAUGCCUAGGAAUCUCCCUGCUAGUGGGGUAUAACAUCGGAAAAUGUGCUCUAACAGCGUACACGCUCCGAAUGAGAACGGGGGGGCGCUUCGGCUUUCACGCACUCAGCUGAGCCUAGGACGGAUUAGCUAGUUGGUGGGGUAAAGGCCUACCAAGGCGACGAUCCGUAGCUGGUCUGAGAGGAUGAACAGCCACACUGGGACUGAGACACGGCCCAGACUCCUACGGGAGGCAGCAGUGGGGAAUAUUGGACAAUGGGCGAAAGCCUGAUCCAGUCAUGCCGCGUGUAGGAAGAAGGUCUUCGGGUUGUAAAGCGCUUUUGGAUGGGACGAAAAGAAGUUGGUUAAUACCUGGCGGUUAUGACGGUACCGUAAGAAUAAGCACCGGCUAACUUCGUG